rnacentral:lncRNA from 1 species
CUAUACGUGGCUGUCCAAAUGUAUAGACUCCUUCUAGCUUAUCAAGUAGCUCGUCCUCACCGUGAAUUGCAAGAAUCGCAGGAAACAGAGCAGCUAUUGCGCCCCCGAGACUAUGACCCGUUAGAAUAAACUUAAGGUUCUUGUCUCUGGCAAGCAUGUCCCUAAGUUUCUGUCUAAUUGUGUAGUAAGCAUAUUGGUGUAUGAGACUUAUAUUUUCUUUGGGCCAUCCAUUUUGUUGGAGGCCUAGAGCUCUCAAGAACCCGGCGUGAACUUUGCCAACGUUCUUCAAUUCAUACCUAUUUUAAAACUCCGAAAAAUGAUAUAUGACUAAAGUAUUUGUGUUCAAAAAGAAAAAGAACUAAAGUAUUUAAUUAUAUUGAUUUUAAUUAUAUAUAUACACACAUACCAAGAGAUGUCAAGAUCAGUACACCAAUCAUCAGAGCUGAAAAGUUCGGUUCCUCUGAAGCUGACGACGAUGAGGUUCGGAUUUGUGUCCGAUGCUUUGAACACAAAGGCUUGUGUCAGAUUUUUUUCUUGGAACGCUGACCACAAAAAUAAAAACUUAUCAAUCGUUUUUGCAAAUGUUGAUAGGUUCUUCAGAUUAAAAAUUUUAGAUGUUGUAAUAUUAUAAUUUGAAGAAAAAAAAUUAGGAACCUGAUAGGCUUUUCAAACAAGUAAAAUUGGUUAAAAAAAACAAGUAUUUAACAUACAAAUAAAUAUUCUGCGCACCAGAAUAAUAGAGCUUGUUUGACGGUAAUCUAUAUCUCCUCUUUUCAUCAUUCAAGUAACUAAAGAUUUUUCUGAUAAUACAAAAUAAACUUUUUUUUUUCCAAUACACCGAUCUAAUCUCAUGUAGCAUUUGCAUUUUAAAAUUGGCUGCUAACCCCUGACAAAACACAUGAAUUUUGAUCUUGGUCCCCAUAUUAUUCUUCUAAUAUUUGAUUCUAAAUACAACUACAUUUAACAUAUGAUUAAUAAUGGGGAAAAUGCCCAACAUAUUGAAAUCUAAUUGGUAAAUUAGCAUAGAUUAGAUAUGCACCUAACUUAAAUAAACCUAAACAUAGUUAUAAAAUAAUGUGUAAACUUAAGAUUUACGUGCAUUCUCUGCAUCGGUAUAUUUACAAAAUAAACAGGAAUUCAAUUAUGAAAUUAAUUUUCAUUAUCAGAUAUAUUUUAAAUUCUGUCGGAAAAAUGUAAUCGAUUAGUUACGAUAUCGUCUGUCUUACAUGGAAUCUUUCACUAAUAAGUAAUUGAAAGUGUUUCCAAAAAAAAAAAAAAAAAAAAAUGAUAGCUUAUUAUAUCUCACGUUAAUUUCAUGUAAAUGAGAAAUCUCAUAAAAGCCAAGUUGAGUUUUCUUCUUGACUACUUCAAAUCUCCUAUUUUUGUGCCAUUUUAAAUACUUUGGAUAGAGGAUACUUUAGUUUACCUUUCCUUUGUAGAGACUGUUGAAGUAAUUGCAAGAUCCAUAGUGCUUGUAUCCGAACAGAAUCUUGUCAUCAAAGGGGACUCUAGUCACCAUGUCAUUGUUAUAAACAAACCUUUCAUACUCUAUCCCAUGCUUUUUCAUUACUUCUUUCAUAUACUCCCCAAACUCCUCGUCCCCUAUACGUGGCUGUCCAAAUGUAUAGACUCCUUCUAGCUUAUCAAGUAGCUCGUCCUCACCGUGAAUUGCAAGAAUCGCAGGAAACAGAGCAGCUAUUGCGCCCCCGAGACUAUGACCCGUUAGAAUAAACUUAAGGUUCUUGUCUCUGGCAAGCAUGUCCCUAAGUUUCUGUCUAAUUGUGUAGUAAGCAUAUUGGUGUAUGAGACUUAUAUUUUCUUUGGGCCAUCCAUUUUGUUGGAGGCCUAGAGCUCUCAAGAACCCGGCGUGAACUUUG